rnacentral:rRNA from 1 species
CCUACUCCUACGGGAGGCAGCAGUAGGGAAUCUUCCGCAAUGGGCGAAAGCCUGACGGAGCAAUGCCGCGUGAGUGAUGAAGGUUUUCGGAUCGUAAAGCUCUGUUGCCAGGGAAGAACGCUUGGGAGAGUAACUGCUCUCAAGGUGACGGUACCUGAGAAGAAAGCCCCGGCUAACUACGUGCCAGCAGCCGCGGUAAUACGUAGGGGGCAAGCGUUGUCCGGAAUUAUUGGGCGUAAAGCGCGCGCAGGCGGUCAUGUAAGUCUGGUGUUUAAUCCCGGGGCUCAACCCCGGAUCGCACUGGAAACUGCGUGACUUGAGUGCAGAAGAGGAGAGUGGAAUUCCACGUGUAGCGGUGAAAUGCGUAGAGAUGUGGAGGAACACCAGUGGCGAAGGCGACUCUCUGGGCUGUAACUGACGCUGAGCGCGAAAGCUUCAUUCGUUG